rnacentral:rRNA from 1 species
UAUACGCACCCUUUUAAGGCCGAGGGAACGAAUGACUCUCCCUAGUUAAUACCUAGGAAGAGUGGACGUUACUCGCAGAAUAAGCACCGGCUAACUCUGUGCCCAGCAGCCGCGGUAAUACAGAGGGUGCGAGCGUUAAUCGGAUUUACUGGGCGUAAAGCGUGCGUAGGCGGCUGAUUAAGUCGGAUGUGAAAUCCCUGAGCUUAACUUAGGAAUUGCAUUCGAUACUGGUCAGCUAGAGUAUGGGAGAGGAUGGUAGAAUUCCAGGUGUAGCGGUGAAAUGCGUAGAGAUCUGGAGGAAUACCGAUGGCGAAGGCAGCCAUCUGGCCUAAUACUGACGCUGAGGUACGAAAGCAUGGGGAGCAAACAGGAUUAGAUACCCUGGUAGUCCAUGCCGUAAACGAUGUCUACUAGCCGUUGGGGCCUUUGAGGCUUUAGUGGCGCAGCUAACGCGAUAAGUAGACCGCCUGGGGAGUACGGUCGCAAGACUAAAACUCAAAUGAAUUGACGGGGGCCCGCACAAGCGGUGGAGCAUGUGGUUUAAUUCGAUGCAACGCGAAGAACCUUACCUGGCCUUGACAUACUAGAAACUUUCCAGAGAUGGAUUGGUGCCUUCGGGAAUCUAGAUACAGGUGCUGCAUGGCUGUCGUCAGCUCGUGUCGUGAGAUGUUGGGUUAAGUCCCGCAACGAGCGCAACCCUUUUCCUUAUUUGCCAGCGAGUAAUGUCGGGAACUUUAAGGAUACUGCCAGUGACAAACUGGAGGAAGGCGGGGACGACGUCAAGUCAUCAUGGCCCUUACGGCCAGGGCUACACACGUGCUACAAUGGUCGGUACAAAGGGUUGCUACCUAGCGAUAGGAUGCUAAUCUCAAAAAGCCGAUCGUAGUCCGGAUUGGAGUCUGCAACUCGACUCCAUGAAGUCGGAAUCGCUAGUAAUCGCGGAUCAGAAUGCCGCGGUGAAUACGUUCCCGGGCCUUGUACACACCGCCCGUCACACCAUGGGAGUUUGUUGCACCAGAAGUAGGUAGUCUAACAC